GUGGGGAAUAUUGGACAAUGGGCGAAAGCCUGAUCCAGCAAUGCCGCGUGUGUGAAGAAGGUCUUCGGAUCGUAAAGCACUUUCGACGGGGACGAUGAUGACGGUACCCGUAGAAGAAGCCCCGGCUAACUUCGUGCCAGCAGCCGCGGUAAUACGAAGGGGGCUAGCGUUGCUCGGAAUUACUGGGCGUAAAGGGCGCGUAGGAGGCUCUGUGAGUCAGGCGUGAAAUUCCUGGGCUUAACCUGGGGACUGCGCUUGAUACUGCAGGGCUUGAGGCCGAGAGAGGGUGGUGGAAUUCCCAGUGUAGAGGUGAAAUUCGUAGAUAUUGGGAAGAACACCGGUGGCGAAGGCGACCACCUGGCUCGGUACUGACGCUGAGGCGCGACAGCGUGGGGAGCAAACAGGAUUAGAAACCCGAGUAGUCC
rnacentral:rRNA from 1 species